GGGGCCGACUGGUUUUGACAGCAUAGGGCACGGUAAGUAAGCAUGUCGUGCGUUGUGUAAUUAGCACGUAAAUCUGAAUGCUCAAACCAUAAAUGGCGAAUAUUCUUACGCCAUGGCUGCCUAGUUAUUAAUUAGCGCAUCCAUUAUGGCCGCCGCGGGGGGUGCCUGUUUUCGCUGCCGCCGCCUAAUCAAACAAUAACAGGAUAGUUCGGCAAUGAGCUGUGCUUGCCGGGCAAAACCAAAACAGUGUAGGAAGGUAGUAGGUUUGUCCUGCUCCGGCUGUCUUCCGAAAUCAAAUGCAGGAAUACACAUGUAGAAAGCUUAUUUGGCAUAUGUUUGGACGCGGGUUCGACUCCCGCCGGUUCCACAA
rnacentral:tmRNA from 1 species